UCAAAAACAUGGCUUUUUGAUGAUAAUUUAAAGUCAGGCCUGCCCACUGAUAAUUAAAGGGCCGCGGUAAUUUGACCGUGCUAAGGUAGCAUAAUCAUUAGUUUCUUAAUUAGAAGCUAGAAUGAAUGGUUUGAUGAAAAAAUUUCUGUCUCUAUUUAAUAAAAAUGGAAUUUUAUUUUUAAGUUAAAAAGCUUAAAUUUAAUUAAAAGACGAGAAGACCCUUUAGAGUUUAAUAUAUAAUUAAGUGAUAUUAAAUUGGUAUAUUAAUUUUUUAUUUAUUAGUAUAUUUAAUUGGGGUGAUUAAAAAAUUAAAUAAACUUUUUUUAUUUUAAAUCAUAAAUAAAUGAAUAUUUGAUCCAUUAAUAAUGAUUAUAAGAAAAAAUUACCUUAGGGAUAACAGCGUAAUUUUUUUUGAGAGUUCUUAUCGAAAGAAAAGAUUGCGACCUCGAUGUUGGAUUAAAAAUAAUUUCUGGUGUAGCAGUUAGAAAUUUUAGGUCUGUUCGACCUUUAAAAUUUUACAUGAUCUGA
rnacentral:rRNA from 1 species